GACGAACGCUGGCGGCGUGCUUAACACAUGCAAGUCGAGCGGUAAGGCCCUUUCGGGGGUACGACGAGCGGCGAACGGGUGAGUAACACGUGGGUGACCUGCCCUCAGCUCUGGGAUAAGCCUGGGAAACUGGGUCUAAUACUGGAUAUGACUCCACGGUGCAUGUCGUGGGGUGGAAAGCCUUGUGCGGCUGAGGAUGGGCCCGCGGCCUAUCAGCUUGUUGGUGGGGUGAGGCCUACCAAGGCGACGACGGGUAGCCGGCCUGAGAGGGCGACCGGCCACACUGGGACUGAGACACGGCCCAGACUCCUACGGGAGGCAGCAGUGGGGAAUCUUGCGCAAUGGGCGAAAGCCUGACGCAGCGACGCCGCGUGAGGGAUGACGGCCUGGUGUAAC
rnacentral:rRNA from 1 species